GACGAACGCUGGCGGCGUGCUUAACACAUGCAAGUCGAGCGGUAAGGCCCUUUCGGGGGUACACGAGCGGCGAACGGGUGAGUAACACGUGGGUGACCUGCCCUCAGCUCUGGGAUAAGCCUGGGAAACCGGGUCUAAUACCGGAUAUGACUCCAUGACGCAUGUUGUGGGGUGAAAGCCUUGUGCGGCCGAGGAUGGGCCCGCGGCCUAUCAGCUUGUUGGUGGGGUGAUGGCCACCAAGGCGACGACGGUAGCCGGCCUGAGAGGGCGACCGGCCACACUGGGACUGAGACACGGCCCAGACUCCUACGGGAGGCAGCAGUGGGGAAUCUUGCGCAAUGGGCGAAAGCCUGACGCAGCGACGCCGCGUGAGGGAUG
rnacentral:rRNA from 1 species